ACGGGUGCGUAACGCGUGGGAAUCUGCCUAAAGGUUCGGAAUAACUCAGGGAAACUUGAGCUAAUACCGGAUGAUGUCUUCGGACCAAAGAUUUAUCGCCUUUAGAUGAGCCCGCGUAGGAUUAGCCAGUUGGUGGGGUAAAGGCCCACCAAGGCGACGAUCCUUAACUGGUCUGAGAGGAUGAUCAGCCACACUGGGACUGAGACACGGCCCAGACUCCUACGGGAGGCAGCAGUGGGGAAUAUUGGACAAUGGGCGAAAGCCUGAUCCAGCAAUGCCGCGUGAGUGAUGAAGGCCUUAGGGUUGUAAAGCUCUUUUACCCGGGAUGAUAAUGACAGUACCGGGAGAAUAAGCCCCGGCUAACUCCGUGCCAGCAGCCGCGGUAAUACGGAGGGGGCUAGCGUUGUUCGGAAUUACUGGGCGUAAAGCGCGCGUAGGCGGCUUUGUAAGUUAGAGGUGAAAGCCCGGAGCUCAACUUCGGAAUUGCCUUUAAGACUGCAUCGCUUGAAUCAUGGAGAGGUCAGUGGAAUUCCGAGUGUAGAGGUGAAAUUCGUAGA
rnacentral:rRNA from 1 species